GACGAACGCUGGCGGCGUGCUUAACACAUGCAAGUCGAACGAUGAAACCUAGCUUGCUAGGUCGAUUAGUGGCGAACGGGUGAGUAACACGUGACUAACCUGCCCCUUUCUCUGGGAUAACGCUCCGAAAGGAGUGCUAAUACCGGAUACUCACACCGAGGCACAUGCCUUGGUGUGGAAAGUUUUUCGGAAAGGGAUGGAGUCGCGGCCUAUCAGCUUGUUGGUGAGGUAACAGCUCACCAAGGCGACGACGGGUAGCCGGCCUGAGAGGGAGACCGGCCACACUGGGACUGAGACACGGCCCAGACUCCUACGGGAGGCAGCAGUGGGGAAUAUUGCACGAUGGGCGCAAGCCUGAUGCAGCGACGCCGCGUGAGGGAUGAAGGUCUUCGGAUUGUAAACCUCUUUCAGUAGGGACGAAGCGAAAGUGACGGUACCUAAAGAAGAAGCACCGGCUAACUACGUGCCAGCCGCCGCGGUAA
rnacentral:rRNA from 1 species